rnacentral:misc_RNA from 1 species
GAUGAAGAACGCAGCGAAAUGCGAUACUUGGUGUGAAUUGCAGAAUCCCGUGAACCAUCGAGUCUUUGAACGCAAGUUGCGCCCGAAGCCAUUAGGCCGAGGGCACGCCUGCCUGGGCGUCACACGUCGUUGCCCCCCCCAUCUACUCCUUCGGGAUUGCGGGGGGCGGAUGAUGGCCUCCCGUGCGCCUCGUCGCGCGGUUGGCAUAAAUACCAAGUCCUCGGCGACGCACGCCACGACAAUCGGUGGUUGCGAAACCUCGGUUGCCCGUCGUGUGCGGUCGUCGCGCAUCGAGGGCUCGAAAAAAUUGCCGGGCUCCGGCUCGGCUUUCAACGCGACCCCAGGUCAGGCGGGGUUACCCGCUGAAUUUAAGCAUAUCAAUAAGCGGAGGA